rnacentral:rRNA from 1 species
AGAUCACCCGCUGAGUUUAAGCAUAUAAAUAAGCGGAGGAAGAGAAACUUACAAGGAUUCCCCUAGUAGCGGCGAGCGAACCGGGAACAGCCCAGCAUGAAAAUCGGGCGGUCCUUGCGGCCGUUCGAAUUGUAGUCUGUAGAAGCGAUCCCAGCGANGGACCGGGCCCAAGUCCCCUGGAAGGGGGCGCCGGAGAGGGUGAGAGCCCCGUCGGGCCCGGACCCUGUUGCAUCACGGGGCGCUGUCGGCGAGUCGGGUUGUUUGGGAAUGCAGCCCUAAUCGGGUGGUAAAUUCCGUCCAAGGCUAAAUACGCGCGAGAGACCGAUAGCGAACAAGUACCGUGAGGGAAAGAUGAAAAGGACUUUGAAAAGAGAGUCAAAGAGUGCUUGAAAUUGCCGGGAGGGAAGCGAAUGGAGGCCA